rnacentral:rRNA from 1 species
UUACGGUUGGCCUACCAGGCGACGACGGGUAGCCGGCCUGAGAGGGCGACCGGCCACACUGGGACUGAGACACGGCCCAGACUCCUACGGGAGGCAGCAGUGGGGAAUAUUGCACAAUGGGCGAAAGCCUGAUGCAGCGACGCCGCGUGAGGGAUGACGGCCUUCGGGUUGUAAACCUCUUUCGACAGGGACGAAGCGCAAGUGACGGUACCUGUAGAAGAAGCACCGGCCAACUACGUGCCAGCAGCCGCGGCCG